ACUACUUAUCUAUUUUAUCUACAGAACAGAUACAGCAUGGGCAGCAGCUGUGUAUGCAUUUCCACAAUGCCCUGUCAAUAAGACUUAAACCUAAGUUGGGGAAAACAUUUCUAGUGAUAGAAAUUGUCAUGCACAUUAAAUCCUUGGCUUCU
rnacentral:sRNA from 1 species